GGGAAGCCGGUCAAGAAAGCUAUUUGGUGAAAAAGAAGAGGGUACCGAAACGAUCCGAUAUUUCGAUCCCCCAGCCAUGGAAUCCGGCAAGCCGCUGCUCUUCGAGAUGCGCAUGGUGACGGCCGCCAACUCCCUGGUGUUCUCCUCCUCCGAUGGGCCGUCCGCCGCUCCCCAUUCGUUGGCCUCGAUGCCGAGUGGAAGCCCACCCGGAACCACCACGGCGGCGAGUGCGACGGCGGUGGCGGAGAAGCUACCUCUUCCGCGUUCCCCGCGCCGCCCUUCCACACCGUGACCUCCUCCAGAUCGCCUGCAGGGUCCGCCGCGAGCCGUCGGAUUCGGCGGUCGGCGACUCGCUGGUGUUCUUGGUGGUCCUGCUGUCCGUCCCACUCCCGGCCCUCUAUGAGGUGCUGAAGGAAAUGUUCAUGGCUUCGUCGGUGCUGAAGCCCGGUUCAGGUUGAAGCAGGACCUCAUCUAUCUCUCCUCCACAUUCUCCUCCCAGGGUUGCCGCGCCGGCUUCGAUAGAUGAUUGAGGCCUUCCAAUUGAAGAUUACUGAGGAACGACUUAUGUCAAGAUGUACAAAAUGCAAUUGGAGCUUCAUUGAGAAACACUGACCACCGAGGAAGCUAUGGCAGCUUCGACCGUGUCCCAAGUCAUUCCUGACCGCCUCAUCAACUGGAACUUAGACUUCGGCAAUGCAUCGAUUGCGACCAACUUUAUUAGGAGGGAACCCAGCACCAAACUGCCUUUCAGAAAUUCAUUACAGUUUGAAAUUUGAAUGACCGAACCAAUUUGUUCUCCAAAAUACAAUGGCAUCUCUGAAGUGAGAACUCAGUUUGCGGUACCAGGCCAUAAUGAUGAUUUUUUAUGCAGAAUAAUAAUUUAAGACUCCUUCCUGAACCUAAUCCAAGGUGGGUUGGUGGAUGACAGAGAUGGGACCCAGGCGCAUUAGCAACCAGUACAUCACUCAACUUUCUUUUCUUUGUUAAUGACCUUCCAGGUUCAAAGAAGAUGGUGAAGAGAUCUAAGUUUGACCACUGUCCAUUCCUUUCAGAUCAUCAAACACUCUCUCUUGUAUCAAUUAGUAAUAUACAAAUGCAAAGGACCAAGGAAGUACCUUGGUUUGUGCUUUAGUGUACGUUUUUAUAUUUCUUGCUUUAUAGUGGCUGAUUUGAUCAAGGAGAAGAAAAAAUUGGGGUCCACCAAGUUUAUUUUUGUAUGUUAGAUUCAAAUUGAUUAGACUGAUAUCUUCUUUAAACUGGAAGGGUCAAGUUUGGUGAGAUUUGGAGAGGGAUAUUGUCGGACCUCACCACUCACAGCUGAUGGGGCUCGGUGGUCCAAUCCGGUAGGACAAUGGAGUGGUGGUGGGGAGACGAAGGUAACUGAGGAUGGACAGAAUCGGCCCAACUGCGUUGAAGCGUAGACUUUUCUUUCGUCCCUGUCGGCCUCUCAAAGCGUGGGGUUCAGAAAAGAAAGAUAAUAUUUUGAUAAAUGUUCUUAAAAUUUUGGAAGCAUUUCUUUCAAGCUAUGCUUUUGGGUGAUGUAGGGGCCCCUUGUUUCAAAACCAAAGAGGUUGUGGUGUAUAGUGUACUCUACUGAAGGACCCGUUGAAUCAUAGACUUUCUUUGUUUCAAAACCUGUAACUGAAGGGUCCUCUGGUUGGUUCGACAUUUUAUCUCUCUAGGCGCUCUUAAACCUAAAAUAUUUGUUCGGAUUUCUCUGAUGGGUGGAUUGUUUGGGCCAGUCUAGAUCUUUUUGAUCAUGUUAUCUAUAGGUCUGGCGGCACGAAGAUUGUCGGUCAGAUUUGUAUUUUUUUGUUGGGAGUAGCAUGCUUAGUAUUUUUGAUCAAAUUUGAUUUAAUAAAUAUUAGGUUUUAAGAAUUGAAUUGGAAGCUACGAGAACCCAAGGAGAGAGAGAAUGGAGGAUCUCUCUUAUCUUUUCUAAAUGUCAAUCUAGAUGGAACAAAAGAACAGG